CUUGUGUUCCCUCUCUCGCUGUUUCUCUCUCUCUAAUAAAUAAAUCAAUCUUUUAAAAGUCUGUUGAACACUUAACAAUGACUAGAGCAAAGGAGCUAACCAGGGUGACUCCAGGCGGGGAGGUGUCGAUGGCCUCCCAGCAGUGACUAGAGGAGGGACGUCUGCACAGAGGAACUGACUGCGAAACGUUGUCACUCACACUGCGAAUUACCGAAAGCGUUUCCAAAAGCUACGGCAGAGGCUUCCAUUGCAUUUAACUUUUGAAGUUCGCCCUAGAAGUUGUCUCCUAGAAGCUAACUUUCGACAGGACUGGCCACGUUCAUGAAGAUCUCUGAGAUCACGCAGACCCACCACAUGGGAGAGCUGUAGUGUCCAGAAGGAAUGGUGGAGAAAGAGAUGGCUGACAAUUGUCCAGGUACCUUUUGCAAGAAAGCUUGGCAAGCCUUUGCUCACGGUCGACUUGGACCCCACAGUCUGAAUUUGUGUAAAGAAGUUGAGUUCACUUUGACUUUAAAUGAACAAAACACCCACCCAGCAAGGACAGUGGGAAAGGGUCUUAACUGUCUGUCUCUUAACUUUUAUCUGUGUGAACAAAGACCCAACUAUGUGGCCCAUCUUGGUCAGGUUCUAGAAGAAACGCACAAAACAAGGUCCUCAUCCAAGAAGCCGGCUAUAGUCUUCCCUACCAUUUAUUUAGGAUACGAGUUUCUUCUUUCUUUCCUUCCUUUCCGUCCGUCUCUCCUAUUCUCCGCCACCCCACCCCCCGCGCCGCAUUGAGCACAGAGUAAGAACCCCCUGAGAAGCUUGCUGAAGAUGUACUCCAGAGCGCCACGUUCACGGGCUCUGGCUCAGCGGACGUGGGUAGGGCACGGGAAUCCCAACUUUUAAACAACACUUGGUGCUCCUCAGCCACUGAACCGGGCCACGUUUGACAGACAACUGGUUCAGAAAACAGCCCACUAAACGUGGGUUUCAGUAGCAUUUAUGGCUUUCUCGUUGUUUGAAGUACUUUUUCGGUGUACUUGUUGAUCUGGAUUGGGCAUACCAAACUAUUUCUCCAUGAUCACAUCACUGCACUUUCCCCAGUACCUUCCAGUCCAAUGACAUAGUGUUACACUCAUUCUUCCAGAGGAGCAGCUGGUCUUUUCAAAAGCUUCCCAGCUGCAGUUGAUAAGAAUAAACUAGGAAGGAAACGAGCAUAAUCUUUCUCAGAUACAUCCCCCCCCCACCCACCGCCUUGGAAAAGCAAAUUGAGAACUCCCCCUAAAAUUGGGGAAGACCAAUACUUAAAUGUGAUGGCAUUUAUGAGGUCCCCAGUCUUUGGGUAUAGGGGACGAUGACAUAAGGGGAGGCGACCAAGAGCUCUUAAGAGGUAACCGUAGAGAAAUGGGGAGCGUGGCAUACAGUUAACAAGUGAAUGGAUACGUAUCAGAUUUCCAUCUUUUGUAAGAGGAUUUCGGGGAAGAAUGGGGUGAACCUCCCUGGUACCGCUUACUGCGCCGGCCCCUGCCAGCCAGUUUUAUCCUUCUGCAAAUGAAAGGGAUAACUUUAUGCAACAGGGCCAUUGAACACGCUGUGCUUUGUAGAAAAGGACACUCACAUUCCUUUGCAAUCAUCUGCUUUUUUUUUUUUUAAAUCACUGUGCACUGUAGAUAUCCUGUCGGGGGAUAAGGUAAGCAUACAACACGCUUGGCAGCGAGAUUAUAAAAAUUCAGCUGCUCCAUUUAUAGCCUUAAAGGUAUCGAUGUUAUUAAUGGACUGGUUAUUUACGAAGAUGUUAUUAGGAAGCGUCAGAAAACGGCUAUUACUUUUGUGCGCUGAAGAACAGUCUAAUGAAAUUUCAAUUUUUUCUGGACAGAAGGCAGAAAGGAUGGUGACAUAACACGAUUUCAAGCUAUUGCUUGUUUUCAUGCCGUUUCGUCUCUCCUCCCCCAAGGCCACAAUCAAUCUUUCAGUUAGAAUUAAAUUUGGCACCCGUUGUGCACACCUACUGUAGAUGAAGUCAUCCCUAAAGGUUUAAUCCGUCACUGCAAUAAUUACUAAAAUGAGAAGAGCUACUAAAAAAUAAAACGUAUCAAUAUGCAUGGUU